rnacentral:rRNA from 1 species
AUUGAACGCUGGCGGCAGGCUUAACAUAUGCAAGUCGAGCGGGGGAAGGUAGCUUGCUACCGGACCUAGCGGCGGACGGGUGAGUAAUGCUUAGGAAUCUGCCUAUUAGUGGGGGACAACAUUCCGAAAGGAAUGCUAAUACCGCAUACGCCCUACGAGGGAAAGCAGGGGAUCUUCGGACCUUGCGCUAAUAGAUGAGCCUAAGUCGGAUUAGCUAGUUGGUGGGGUGAAGGCCUACCAAGGCGACGAUCUGUAGCGGGUCUGAGAGGAUGAUCCGCCACACUGGGACUGAGACACGGCCCAGACUCCUACGGGAGGCAGCAGUGGGGAAUAUUGGACAAUGGGCGGAAGCCUGAUCCAGCCAUGCCGCGUGUGUGAAGAAGGCCUUUUGGUUGUAAAGCACUUUAAGCGAGGAGGAGGCUACUUAGAUUAAUACUCUGGGAUAGUGGACGUUACUCGCAGAAUAAGCACCGGCUAACUCUGUGCCAGCAGCCGCAGUAA